AUUGAACGCUGGCGGCAUGCCUUACACAUGCAAGUCGAACGGCAGCACGGGGGCGAACCCUCGGUGGCGAGUGGCGAACGGGUGAGUAAUGCAUCGGAACGUGCCCACGUAGUGGGGGAGUAACUAGUCGAAAGAUUAGCUAAUACCGCAUACGACCUAUGGGUGAAAGCGGGGGAGUCCGCAAGAACCUCGCGCUAUCGGAGCGGCCGAUGUCUGAUUAGCUAGUUGGGCGGGGUAAAGGGCCCACCCAAGGCUUCGAUCAGUAGCUGGUCUGAGAGGACGACCAGCCACACUGGGACUGAGACACGGCCCAGACUCCUACGGGAGGCAGCAGUGGGGAAUUUGGUACAAUGGGCGCAAGCCUGAUCCAGCCAUGCCGCGUGC
rnacentral:rRNA from 1 species